GGAAUAUAAAAAGUAAAUUAAUAAUAAAAAAGAGAAAAAAAUCUUUUAUUUAUUUAUUUAUUUUGGUUUUUAGAGACAGGGUUUCUUGUGUAGUUUUGGAGCCUAUGCUGGCACUCGCUCUGGAGACCAGGCUGGCCUGGAACUCACAGAGAUCCCCCUGCCUCUGCUGGGAUUAAAGGGGUGCACCGCCAACGACCGGCGAGAAAAAAAUCUUAAGAUACCGGAACUCCCGCCCAACAUACAUAUUUCUAUACACAGGGCUGGUGCUGACCGAGCGCAACAUCACCGGGUGGGGGCGGGCGAGCUUGCUGGGUGAGCAUCGGGAAAGAGGCUGCGCGACUUGAACCCUCCCAGCCACCGUUAAGCUGCGGCCGGAAGAGCUCGACUCUUUCCGGGUUUGGCGG
rnacentral:lncRNA from 1 species